UACGUAGGCAGCGAGCGUUGUUCGGAAUUACUGGGCGUAAAGAGUGUGUAGGCGGUGUUCCCAGUCUGUUGUGAAAUCUCCCGGCUCAACUGGGAGGGUGCGCCGAAUACUGAGAGGCUAGAGUGUGGGAGAGGAAAGUGGAAUUCCUGGUGUAGCGGUGAAAUGCGUAGAUAUCAGGAGGAACACCGGUGGUGUAAACGGCUUUCUGGACCAUAACUGACGCUGAGGCACGAAAGCGUGGGUAGCAAACAGG
rnacentral:rRNA from 1 species